CUGACUGAACCACUGAAUCCACACAUACGCCGACACAUUCGACCGGGUGCCCGGCGGCUGCGCAGCAAUCGGGUUGUCGGAUGCGGGCGUAUGGAGGCUCAAC
rnacentral:sRNA from 14 species